UAGAGCCGGUCUCCUUGCUCAG
rnacentral:misc_RNA from 1 species